GCAGCAGGCUGUUCCAUCGUCCCGUACUGAGCGUAGCGAAGUCGGGAAGGAAAGUCCGGGCAACACAGAGCACCAUGCUUCCUAACGGGAAGAUAUCCGCGAGGGUAUUGAAGUGUAACAGAAAAUAACCGCCCUGAGCGUAGCCGAAGGGAAAGGGUGAAAAGGUGAGGUAAGAGCUCACCGGUUCCGGAGGCGACUCCGGAAGCCGUACACCAUAUGGGUUGAAAGACCAUGUAUACCGGCUCCAAGGGCUGCUCGUCCGAUGCCGGGGGGUAGGUCGUAUGAUCCCGACAGCAAUGCCGGGGCAAGAUAAAUGAUGGAAUUAUUACAGAACCCGGCUUACAGGCCGGCUGCAAAA
rnacentral:RNase_P_RNA from 2 species